UUUCACAGAGCUAGGAAUUGCCAACUUACGCUUUCCAUCUCUUUUCUGAUUUCUUUUAAACUAAUGAUCUGUGUUGGAGCAUUAAUGGCAUUCUGUUUCUGAGGAAUGGAUGCUGGUCUGUUCUCCUGUAGAAACCUCUAGAAGAAUGUUCACUUAGGUAUAAUGCAGCUAAAUACCAGGAUAUUAAGGACUGAUAUAUAAACUCAAGUUUAGGUUUGAGUCUCCCUAUUCUUCCCUGUUUCCAAAGGUAUGUGUUUUGUUUAUUUGUUUGUUUGCUUUUGAAAGAAAAGAAUGCUGGAAGGCAAUCAAAAGGGCAUUUUCUUUGCCACCUCCUCUGAAUAUGUGCGUGUCUCUGACAAAUAGAAAAGAAAACCUACAGAAUGUCCGUGGCAUGUAAAAUGUACCAUAGAAUGAAUCAUUUUCAGCAGCCUUGAUGAAGUGGGAGAUGUUCUGAUUGGAACUGGAACCAUCCACCUACUUUUGUUCAUUACAUUGACACUGCUCUGUUCUCUUCUCUGAACUCUGAGAGUUACUUAUCCACCCACAUGGUUAAUCUACAGAAACCAUUCUGAAAGGUUUGUUCCUUACCCUAUAAUCUUUUCUACUUUUUACCCUUUUUGUCAUCAGCUCAUUUAGAGUAUUUUUUAAAUUAAGUAAUAUAUGUUAAACUAUAUCAAUAUAGGGUUUGAUUUGAAGCCGUAAAAUUAAAAAAAUUCCUAAUUAAUAAAUAAAUAUAGAUAUUGCA
rnacentral:lncRNA from 1 species